CUUCCCAUUUACUUGCUGCUCUAGUCUCUCAGUGGCAGGAGCAGUUAUACGCAUGGGAUGAAAUAAUAUCGGGCAAUUGUAAAUUGCGAUGAGGUGUAUUUUCUCUCUUCUGCAUGGUCUAGACAUUG